rnacentral:rRNA from 1 species
GACGAACGCUGGCGGCGUGCUUAACACAUGCAAGUCGAGCGGUAAGGCCCUUUCGGGGGUACACGAGCGGCGAACGGGUGAGUAACACGUGGGUGACCUGCCCUCAGCUCUGGGAUAAGCCUGGGAAACCGGGUCUAAUACCGGAUAUGACUCCAUGACGCAUGUUGUGGGGUGAAAGCCUUGUGCGGCUGAGGAUGGGGCCCGCGGCCUAUCAGCUUGUUGGUGGGGUGAUGGCCUACCAAGGCGACGACGGGUAGCCGGCCUGAGAGGGCGACCGGCCACACUGGGACUGAGACACGGCCCAGACUCCUACGGGAGGCAGCAGUGGGGAAUCUUGCGCAAUGGGCGAAAGCCUGACGCAGCGACGCCGCGUGAGGGAUGACGGCCUGG